AUGGGUGGGAGAUCAAUUGUUAAUAGUAGAAAGAUUGCUUGGAUUUCUCUCAAGUGUAACAGACAAAAUGGGUCAUAUGAGUGCGGAUACUAUGUAAUGUAUUGGAUGACCCAUAUUGUUCGUUCUCACAUCACAAGUCGCUGGGAAACGAGAUUCAAGACUACUACACCAGUUCCUGAGAAGUCACUAUUAUUCAUUAGGAACGCUGCUGCGAAGUAUAUAAUUAGAUUAUACAAUAGCUCUUAGAUUUAAACAUUGCAUUUGAUUAGAUUGAAUUUUCUUAGACUUUGUACUUUAUUUGAUGUUGAAAUACAUUUGAACAUGUGUUUGUUAUGUUCAAAUUGAAUU